CAUUCAGUAAUCGUCGACGUGAGCGGUAGGGGCUGUGAAACGGAGCGAGACAGAAUGUAUACAAGCAAACGCGCGUGGGGAAGCACGUGGCGUGCGUAUCGUUCUCUCGGUCCAUGACCUACGCCACUGUAUUAUAAUUUACGAGUAGAAUUUAUUGCACCGCGUACAACACACACAAACCCCGCUCAACUCUCGCUCUCUCUUCGUACUUGAAAUUGUAGAUGAAAAAGUGGGCAUAUCUUGAGUGUAGCGUAUCAUUUUACUGACAACGCUGACAAGAAGGCAUCUCGGCAAAAGUUUCGACAAACCCUUGGACUAACCAACCAAUUAUUUAAAAAAUACGACGCGUGAAUAGGAUUGAAGAAUGUGUGAAUAAAAUUAACGGGGAUGGUGAACAAAAAGGAAGCAGAAGCCAGUCAAUGCUUUACACGUUAAUGUGACGGUAUCCGAUGGUAAAAGCGAAGAAAAGAACAAUAUAUCCAAAGCGUUCGAAAAAGCGGAGAGUUCUUUGUUUCGCGACUUUGCGAGACGAGCCCGCAGCUCAUUUACCGGAUCCGGGAACGGAAGUCUAAUAUUCUUUACCUGAUCCGUUACAUACCCGCGCAUGGUCGGUUCAUGGUUCUAUUGGAUCUAUGUUAAACGACAAACGGUGCAAAAAAUACGUGCCAUGGAUGGAUGGAAGGAUUUAGAGGAUUAUUGAGGCAAUCUUUGAGCGUACUGACAAUGAGAGAAAAAUAUGUACGAGUCAGGUCCAUAGGCGAGACAACCCGCGGAUAACCACCGUGAGCGUGAGCACGACGGUCGACGCGCGGUCGUCGUUGUUCGUCGUGUCGUCAUUGUCGUGGGGUUAAACGAUAUGGAGAAAAUAGACGCAAAGGAAAGGAAAGGAAAGGAAAGGAAAGGAAAGGAAAAGAAAGGAAAGAAGAGGAGGGGAGGGAGGACGCGAACAAUUCGUCGGUGCGAAGAAGAGUUUGGAAGGGCAAGGAGGAUGAUCAGG